CAGCAGCCGCGGUAAUACGUAGGGUGCAAGCGUUAAUCGGAAUUACUGGGCGUAAAGCGUGCGCAGGCGGUGUUGUAAGACUGAUGUGAAAUCCCCGGGCUCAACCUGGGAACUGCAUUGGUGACUGCAACGCUGGAGUGCGGCAGAGGGGGAUGGAAUUCCGCGUGUAGCAGUGAAAUGCGUAGAUAUGCGGAGGAACACCGAUGGCGAAGGCAAUCCCCUGGGCCUGUACUGACGCUCAUGCACGAAAGCGUGGGGAGCAAACAGGAUUAGAUACCCCCGUAGUCCCUGUCUCUUAUAC
rnacentral:rRNA from 1 species